UUUAUCGUUUUAUUAUUACGCCACAACUACUGCCACGUAUCGGUUAGUUUGUACUAUCAUUGCUGAUCUCUGCAACAUAUGUACAUUUAAGGGUAACAAUCUCGUCUUAAUCUCCAUACAGCCCUUGUUCCAAGAUGUAGCUGAAAUUUCUGAGCUGCUGUUCGAGUAAAUUCAGUAAAUUACGUAAAUAAUAUGAGAAAGAGAAAAAAUAUGAGAUACCUUGGUGACUUCUGCUUUUCAUGUGUAUGAUUCACCAACAAUGUGGUACUUUUUCACUUCUAUUUACAAAGCAUUUUACUGAAACAAGUGAAGAAAAUAGUUGUCCCUCAAUCUUAAUAUAUGAUUCAAUUAUGCCACCUGAUUUUUCUGAUCAAAGAAAGAAACAAAUGUUGAGCAAAGUAAUGACUUUCAAAUACAGAAGAAAAUCAUAAGAAAAUGAAUCAUUUUGGAGAGUGUUUGGAAAGAGCCUAUAGGCAACAUAAUUUGGGGGUAUCUCUGGAUUGUGAUUUUUCAAUUCUUAUUCUUGAAAGGAACUUGAAAAAAAGAAUUCAGUUAUUUACCCUUCUGUGUGUUGUUAAAAGAUGAGUUUUCAUAUGAACACAAAAUGUAUUAACAUUUUAUUGCAAUUCUUUUAUUUUGCUCCUUUACUUUUAAUGUAUUCUUUCACAAAAACAGCAUAGAACUGUAUUGUGCAUUUGAGGUCGACGUGUUUCCCAUAAAUAUAGGAAUAAGUGAGAGUGCUGAUGGUUUUUCAGUUUCGGGUUUGAGGCCAGAUAUUAUUAGGCAAUUGAAAGAGAUUCAGUUCAUCAGUUUAAAAGACUCUUCUGCUACCUGUCCUUACCAUUAUUUCAUCGGUUCUAAUUCUCUGAAAUGCAUUUGAUUAGUACAGCUUUUAAUCAUUAUCAAAAGGUUUGUAUGUUAUGUGUAUUUAAACUGGAUCAACCCUUCAUGGAAUACAACUCUCUUUCUUCUCUAAAUAUGACUAUAUAGCUUAUGUAUCUGAAAUGUAUGUGUUUUUUAAGCAACUAUUUCAGAGGCCAACAGUCAAUAUAG